rnacentral:rRNA from 1 species
AUUGAACGCUGGCGGCAGGCCUAACACAUGCAAGUCGAGCGGAGCGGCGGACGGGUGAGUAAUGCAUAGGAAUCUGCCUGGUAGUGGGGGAGAACGUCGGGAAACGGGCGCUAAUACCGCAUACUAUAAGAUGAGUCUAGGUCGAAUUAGCUAGUUGGUGGGGGAAAGGCCUACCUAGACGACGAUCCGUAACUGGUUUGGGAGGAUGAUCAGUCAAACUGGAACUGAGACACGGUCCAGACUCCUACGGGAGGCAGCAGUGGGGAAUAUUGGACAAGGGGCGAAAGCCUGAUCCAGCCAUGCCUCGUGUGUGAAGAAGGUCUUCGGAUUUGAAAGCACUUUAAGUUGGGAGGCGUUACCAACAGAAUAAGCACCGGCUAACUUCGUGCCAGCAGCCGCGGUAAUAC